rnacentral:rRNA from 1 species
UGAACAAGGGCUUAUGCGGGAUUGCUUGGCAUUUAGAGUCGAAGAAGGGCGUAGAAAUUAACGAUAUGCUUUAGGGAGCUAAAGACGAGCUUUAAUCUAAAGAUUCCCGAAUGGGGCAACCUAUUACUUUAACAUUACAAUGAAAUGGUAUACAAAUAAUGUAGAGAACUUGGUGAACUGAAACAUCUUAGUAGCCGAAGGAAAAGAAAGCAAAAGCGAUUUUCUUAUUAGUGGCGAGCUAACGGAAAUCAGCCUAAACCUUUAUGGGUGUUGUGGGUAUAUUAUAAUUACUGAAAAAGAUAGAGAAUUUGUUGAAAACAAAAUCAAAGAGGGUUUUAAAUCCCGUAUUUGUUUUUAAAAAGUAAUUUUUGAUUUUCCCGAGUAGCAUAGAGCACGUGGAAUUCUGUGUGAAUCAGCGAGGACCAUCUCGUAAGGCUAAAUACUCCUAAAUGACCGAUAGUGUACGAGUACCGUGAGGGAAAGCUGAAAUAGAACACUGAGAAGUGAGUGAAAUAGAAUAUGAAAGCAUAAGUUUACAAGCAGUAGGAGAUCUAUUUAAAGAUUGACUGUGUGCCUGUUGAAGAAUGAGCCGGCGACUUAUAGGUGAUGGCAAGGUUAAGGUUUUUCCGGAGCCAUAGUGAAAUCGAGCUUAAAUAAAGCGAAAAACUUUCUUCUUGAAAGUUUAUGUCAUUGCUUAUAGACCCGAACCCAGGUGAUCUAAUCAUGGUCAGGUUGAAGUUUUGGUAAAACAGAAUGGAGGACCGAACCCACCAAUGUUGAAAAAUUGGGGGAUGAACUGUGAUUAGGGGAGAAAUUCCAAUCGAACUUGGAGCUAGCUGGAUCUCUUCGAAAUGCGUUGAGGCGCAGCGUUUAAUUAUGGUAAACAUUAGGGGUAAAGCACUGUUUCGAUGCGGGCUAUGAAAAUGGUACCAAGUUGUGGCAAACUCUGAAUACUAAGUUAUAUUUCAAUUAAUCAGUGAGACAGUGGGGGAUAAGCUUCAUUGUCAAGAGGGAAACAGCCCAGAUCACUACUUAAGGCCCCUAAAUAAUUACUAAGUGGUAAAGGAUGUACUAUUACAUAGACAACCAGGAGGUUGGCUUAGAAGCAGCCAUUCCUUUAAAAAGUGCGUAAUAGCUUACUGGUCAAGUGAUAGUGCGCCGAAAAUGAACGGGACUAAGUAAUUUGCCGAAGGUGUGAGAGAAAUCGGUAGAAGAGCGUUCUGUGUUGAAGAGAAGGAAUAGUGAAAAUAGUUCUGGAUUAAACAGAAGUGAGAAUGUCGGCUUAAGUAACGAAAACAUUGGUGAAAAUCCUAUGCUCCGAAAACCUAAGGUUUCCUUAGCCAGGUUCGUCCUCUAAGGGUUAGUCAGGUCCUAAAAUAAGGUUUAACAACGUAAAUUGAUGGAUGACAGGUUAAUAUUCCUGUACCGAAUGCUCACUUGUAAGGAGUGACGAAAAAGGCUAGAUCGGCCACGUGAUGGUUUGUGGUUUAAGGGUUCAAGAGGUAUCAAAUAUUAAAAAAAAUAUUUUGUCUUAAGGCCUGAAUAGUAUAAAUACUACGGUAUUGAAAGUGAUUGAUGUCAUGUUUCCAAGAAAAACUUUUGUUUAUGUAUAGUGAGCUCGCCUGUACCGUAAACUGACACAGGUAGGUUAGUAGAAUAUACUAAGGAGCGCGAGAUAACUCUUUCUAAGGAACUCGGCAAAAUGACUUCGUAACUUCGGAAGAAGAAGUACCUCUAAUGAGGUGGCAGAAAAGAGGUCCAAGCGACUGCUUACCAAAAGCACAGGUCUCCGCGAAGUUGAAAAACGAUGUAUGGGGGCCGAGGCCUGCUCAGUGCAGGAAGGUUAAAGAAAUUGGUUAGCGUAAGCAAAGCUAGUGACUGAAGCCCCUGUGAACAGCGGCAAUAACUAUAAUUGUCCUAAGGUAGCGAAAUUCCUUGUCGGGUAAGUUCCGACCCGCACGAAAGGCUUAACGAUUUGGACACUGUCUCAGAAAGAGACUCGGUGAAAUAGAAUUGACUGUGAAGAUGCGGUCUACUUGCACUUGGACAGAAAGACCCUAUGAAGCUUUACUGUAUCCUGAAAUUGGUUUCGGGCUUUUUUUGCGCAGAAUAGGUGGGAGGCUAUGAUCUUGUCUUUUGGGAUACGGGGAGCCGAAAAAUGAGAUACCACUCUGAGAAAGCUAGAAAUCUAAUCUUAAUCUUAUGUACAAUCAUGAUAAUUGACAGUUUCAGGUGGGCAGUUUUACUGGGGCGGUAGCCUCCUAAAAAGUAACGGAGGCGUACAAAGGUUUUCUCAGGCUAGACGGAAAUUAGUUGUGGAGUGUAAAGGCAUAAGAAAGCUUGACUGUGAGACUUAUAAGUCAAACAGAGACUAAAGUCGGUCUUAGUGACCCGACGGUGCUGUAUGGAAAGGCCGUCGUAAACAGAUAAAAGUUACUCUAGGGAUAACAGGCUGAUCUCCCCCAAGAGUUCACAUCGACGGGGAGGUUUGGCACCUCGAUGUCGGCUCAUCGCAACCUGGGGCGGUAGUACGUCCCAAGGGUUGGGCUGUUCGCCCAUUAAAGCGGUACGUGAGCUGGGUUCAGAACGUCGAGAGACAGUUCGGUCCAUAUCCGGUGUGAGCGUUAGAGUAUUGAAAGGCGCUUUCCUUAGUACGAGAGGACCGGGAAGGACGCACCACUGAUGUACCAGUUUUUGUGCCAACAGAAUACGCUGGGUAGUCAAGUGCGGAGUGGAUAACUGCUGAAAGCAUAUAAGUAGGAAGCCCACCUUAAGAUAAGUACUCUUCAUAGGUCACGGUAAGACGAACCGUUUGAUAGGUAUUAGGUGUACAAUUGGUAACAAUUUUAGCCGAGAUAUACUAACCGACCGAAAA